rnacentral:rRNA from 1 species
UACGUAGGGUGCAAGCGUUAAUCGGAAUUACUGGGCGUAAAGCGUGCGUAGGCGGUUUCUUAAGUCUGUCGUGAAAGCCCUGGGCUCAACCUGGGAACGGCGAUGGAUACUGGGAAGCUAGAAUGUGAGAGAGGAUGGUGGAAUUCCCGGUGUAGCGGUGAAAUGCGUAGAGAUCGGGAAGAACAUCGGUGGCGAAAGCGCUCUACUGGACCGCAACUGACACUCAGGGACGAAAGCUAGGGGAGCGAAUGGG